rnacentral:lncRNA from 1 species
ACCCCCGUCUCUAAAUAAAAUUUUUAAAAAGGUGGGUAAGGAGAGGUGGCUGGGGAUGUGGUUCAGUGAUAGAGUGCCCUGGAUUCAAUCCCUGGUACCAAGAAAAAAAAAAAAAGAUAGUUUGUGUGUUGCAGCAGCAUGUUGAGCUGCCAUUGCUAACUAGGCUUCAGUUAAAAUGAACGUAGUCAUUCGUCUUAGAGGUCACUGUGAGAGGCAGAUACCCUUAUUCAAGUAGUAAAGAAGAAAAACACAGCAGAACUUUAUCUUAAAAUGCCUCUUUGUAAAAUUGAUAUAUAUUAUGAUUAUAUGUGACCACGGGAUUCAUUGUGAUAUGCACAAAAUAUCAUUUGAUCAAUUUCAUUCCCCAGUGAGCUCCCCUUUUCCCUCCUUGCCUCCCUCGUCUGAUCCCCUUCUUCAACUCCUACUGGUCUCCUUUCUAUUUUCAUGAGGUCUAUUUUUAAAAAUUCAUUUCUUAAAUUAAGUUGAAUUAAGUUUGCUAAGAGUGAGAACACAUGCAUUCUUACAGGAAUGAGGAUGCAUUGUGUUCUUGCAGGGCUCUGCAAUGAGCCUUGCUUUGGGCUGUCUCGUGCACCAAUGUUAACAGCCUGA